rnacentral:rRNA from 1 species
AGGAUGAACGCUGGCGGCGUGCCUAAGUACAUGCAAGUCGAGCGGUAAGGCCACUUCGGUGGUACACGAGCGGCGGACGGCUGAGUAACACGUAGGAACGUACCCCAAAGUGAGGCAUAAGCACCAGAAAUGGUGUCUAAUACCGCAUGUGGCCUAACAGGCUAAAGCUCCGGCGCUUUGGGAACGGCCUGCGCAUGAUUAGCUUGUUGGUGAGGUAAAAGCUCACCAAGGCAGUGAUCAUUAGCUGGUCUGAGAGGAUGACCAGCCAGACUGGGACUGAGAACGGCCCAGACUCCUACGGGAGGCAGCAGUAGGGAAUUUUCCACAAUGGGCGAAAGCCUGAUGGAGCAACGCCGCGUGCAGGAUGAAGGCUCUAGGGUCGUAAACUGCUUUUAUCUGUGACGAAUAUGACGGUAGCAGAUGAAUAAGGAUCGGCUAACUCCGCGCCAGCAGCCGCGGU